rnacentral:rRNA from 1 species
UACGUAGGGUGCAAGCGUUUAAUCGGAAUUACUGGGCGUAAAGCGUGCGCAGGCGGCUAUGCAAGACAGAUGUGAAAUCCCCGGGCUCAACCUGGGAACUGCAUUUGUGACUGCAUGGCUAGAGUACGGUAGAGGGGGGAUGGAAUUCCGCGUGUAGCAGUGAAAUGCGUAGAUAUGCGGAGGAACACCGAUGGCGAAGGCAUCCCCUGGGCCUGCACUGGACAGCUCAUGCACGAAAG